UAACAUUUACAAGGUAUCUGUGUAAUCAGUU
rnacentral:piRNA from 1 species